rnacentral:rRNA from 1 species
GACGAACGCUGGCGGCGUGCCUAAUACAUGCAAGUCGAACGAACUCUGGUAUUGAUUGGUGCUUGCAUCAUGAUUUACAUUUGAGUGAGUGGCGAACUGGUGAGUAACACGUGGGAAACCUGCCCAGAAGCGGGGGAUAACACCUGGAAACAGAUGCUAAUACCGCAUAACAACUUGGACCGCAUGGUCCGAGUUUGAAAGAUGGCUUCGGCUAUCACUUUUGGAUGGUCCCGCGGCGUAUUAGCUAGAUGGUGGGGUAACGGCUCACCAUGGCAAUGAUACGUAGCCGACCUGAGAGGGUAAUCGGCCACAUUGGGACUGAGACACGGCCCAAACUCCUACGGGAGGCAGCAGUAGGGAAUCUUCCACAAUGGACGAAAGUCUGAUGGAGCAACGCCGCGUGAGUGAAGAAGGGUUUCGGCUCGUAAAACUCUGUUGUUAAAGAAGAACAUAUCUGAGAGUAACUGUUCAGGUAUUGACGGUAUUUAACCAGAAAGCCACGGCUAACUACGUGCCAGCAGCCGCGGUAAUACGUAGGUGGCAAGCGUUGUCCGGAUUUAUUGGGCGUAAAGCGAGCGCAGGCGGUUUUUUAAGUCUGAUGUGAAAGCCUUCGGCUCAACCGAAGAAGUGCAUCGGAAACUGGGAAACUUGAGUGCAGAAGAGGACAGUGGAACUCCAUGUGUAGCAGUGAAAUGCGUAGAUAUAUGGAAGAACACCAGUGGCGAAGGCGGCUGUCUGGUCUGUAACUGACGCUGAGGCUCGAAAGUAUGGGUAGCAAACAGGAUUAGAUACCCUGGUAGUCCAUACCGUAAACGAUGAAUGCUAAGUGUUGGAGGGUUUCCGCCCUUCAGUGCUGCAGCUAACGCAUUAAGCAUUCCGCCUGGGGAGUACGGCCGCAAGGCUGAAACUCAAAGGAAUUGACGGGGGCCCGCACAAGCGGUGGAGCAUGUGGUUUAAUUCGAAGCUACGCGAAGAACCUUACCAGGUCUUGACAUACUAUGCAAAUCUAAGAGAUUAGACGUUCCCUUCGGGGACAUGGAUACAGGUGGUGCAUGGUUGUCGUCAGCUCGUGUCGUGAGAUGUUGGGUUAAGUCCCGCAAUGAGCGCAACCCUUAUUAUCAGUUGCCAGCAUUAAGUUGGGCACUCUGGUGAGACUGCCGGUGACAAACCGGAGGAAGGUGGGGAUGACGUCAAAUCAUCAUGCCCCUUAUGACCUGGGCUACACACGUGCUACAAUGGAUGGUACAACGAGUUGCGAACUCGCGAGAGUAAGCUAAUCUCUUAAAGCCAUUCUCAGUUCGGAUUGUAGGCUGCAACUCGCCUACAUGAAGUCGGAAUCGCUAGUAAUCGCGGAUCAGCAUGCCGCGGUGAAUACGUUCCCGGGCCUUGUACACACCGCCCGUCACACCAUGAGAGUUCGUAACACCCAAAGUCGGUGGGGUAACCUUUUAGGAACCAGCCGCCUAAGGUGGGACAGAUGAUUAGGGUG